GGGGAUAUGAGGAUACUUUCCCCAAAUGAUCGACACUGAUUCGAGCUGUGCGUUCAUGCUCCAAGGAGCCAAGCCAGAAAUCUGAUCCCU
rfam:Physcomitrella patens subsp. patens PHYPAscaffold_483 genomic scaffold, whole genome shotgun sequence.